rnacentral:rRNA from 1 species
AUUGAACGCUGGCGGGAGGCUUAACACAUGCAAGUCGAACGAGUGGCGGACGGGUGAGUAAUGUCUGGGAAACUGCCUGAUAGAGGGGGAUAACUACUGGAAAAGGUAGCUAAUACCGCAUACCAUCAGAUGCGCCCAGAUGGGAUUCGCUAGUUGGUGGGGUAACGGCUCACCAAGGCGACGAUCCCUAGCUGGUCUGAGAGGAUGACCAGCCACACUGGGACUGAGACAUGGUCCAGACUCCUACGGGAGGCAGCAGUGGGGAAUAUUGCACAAUGGGCGCAAGCCUGAUGCAGCCAUGCCGCGUGUAUGAAGAAGGCCUUCGGGUUGUAAAGUACUUUCAGCGGGGAGGCGUUACCCGCAGAAGAAGCACCGGCUAACUCCGUGCCAGCAGCCGCGGUAAUUC